UACGAAGGGGGCUAGCGUUGUUCGGAUUAACUGGGCGUAAAGCGCGCGUAGGCGGGUUUUUAAGUCAGGGGUGAAAUCCCAAGGCUCAACCUUGGAACUGCCUUCGAUACUGUUUGGCUUGAGACCGGAAGAGGUUAGUGGAACUGCGAGUGUAGAGGUGAAAUUCGUAGAUAUUCGCAAGAACACCAGUGGCGAAGGCGGCUGACUGGUCCGGUUCUGACGCUGAGGCGCGAAAGCGUGGGGAGCAAACAGG
rnacentral:rRNA from 1 species